GUACUGGCUUUACUGAUUCCUCCUUCUUGAAGAACUGUAAUGUCAUUAAUUUGGUGUUGCAGGGAAACAGGACUGUUACUUUGAAAAAAUUAGAAUGUUUAAAGCAAGCUAACGCUUGAAUACAUUAGCAUGGAAUAAUGAAAUAGGACGUUCGAUCCUAUUUUGUUGGUUUCUAGGAUUGACGUAAUGAUUAAUAGGGAUAGUUGGGGGCAUUAGUAUUCAAUUGUCAGAGGUGAAAUUCUUGGAUUUAUUGAAGACUGACUACUGCGAAAGCAUUUGCCAAGGAUGUUUUCAUUAAUCAAGAACGAAAGUUAGGGGAUCGAAGACGAUCAGAUACCGUCGUAGUCUUAACCAUAAACUAUGCCGACUAGGGAUCGGAUGAUGUUAAUUUUUUAAUGACUC
rnacentral:rRNA from 1 species